rnacentral:rRNA from 1 species
UCGAGAAUCUUUUGCAAUGGACGAAAGUCUGACAAAGCGACGCUGUGUGAAUGAUGAAGGCCUUCGGGUUGUAAAGUUCUUUCGCUUAGGAACAAGGUGAUGUUGUGAAUAACAAUAGAGCUUGAGCGUACUAAGUAAAGAAGCACCGGCUAACUNCCGUG